UACAGAGGGUGCAAGCGUCAAUCGGAAUUACUGGGCGUAAAGCGCGCGUAGGUGGUUUGUUAAGUUGGAUGUGAAAGCCCCGGGCUCAACCUGGGAACUGCAUUCAAAACUGACAAGCUAGAGUAUGGUAGAGGGUGGUGGAAUUUCCUGUGUAGCGGUGAAAUGCGUAGAGAUCGGGAGGAACACCAGAGGCGAAGGCGGCGAACUGGACAGUAACUGACGCUGAGGAGCGAAAGCAUGGGGAGCGAACAGG
rnacentral:rRNA from 1 species